rnacentral:rRNA from 1 species
UACGUAGGGCGCAAGCGUUAUCCGGAAUUAUUGGGCGUAAAGAGCUCGUAGGCGGUUUGUCGCGUCUGCCCGGUGAAAAGUCCCGGGGGCUCAACUCCGGAUCUGCGGUGGGUACGGGCAGACUAGAGUGAUGUAGGGGGAGACUGGAAUUCCUGGGUGUAGCGGUGAAAUGCGCAGAUAUCAGGAGGAACGCCAAUGGCGAAGGCAGCUCGCUGGGACGUUACUGACGCUGAGACGCGAAAGC